UGUAGAUAAAUCAAAUCUGAAAUACUCACCUGCUGCUGGCCACCAGUCUGAACAGAACCUAAGCUUUUGAAGUGCUCCCUGAUCCUAACUACGGCUUAACCAGCUCUGUGAGAGAGUCAAGCAUGAUACUACCUGCUCUACUCAAGGUGUGGCCCAGCGCAUAAAGGCUUGUUUUGGGGAUCUGCACAGGGACUCUGGCUCUGCUGCUGCUUCAGCUCAAUGGGCCUGGUAGGUGACUUUUCAUGAAGUCCCCACUGAGGUUAGAUACACGGAGCACAUUUGCAUACUUGGAAGAGGUCCCCAUGUAGAGGAGUGCAUGAAUACCUCUGGCAUUUUGUACUGAAGUUCUAAAUAUAAAUGCAGCCUAGGAGGAGUGUGUCUAUGGAACUGCCCUGACCGCUUGCUUUCCCAAUAACCGCACUUCCUAACGACGUGAUUUUCUGUGCUGGGGAAGUUCUGAUUCUGAUAAAGCAUAGAUGUGUAUGUUGGGCACUCUUGUUAAUUGAAAGCUGCAUGCUGAAUGCACCAGUGGUGUUCAUCUGUGUACCAAGUGCAGGAGAAGCUGCCAGAUCCAAGAACAAGCAGCCCAUGGAUGGGCAGACCCAAUCCACAUGGCUCUGGGGACAGACAGGAACCUGUGGACUACGAGGACACUUUGGUGUACAGGCAUAGUGCAGCAGCGUGUGAUUAAAAAACAGUCCCUCAGUGUGGAUCCAUUUGAAUACCAAGUUAUUUUAUAGAGCCUGCACUGUGCGUUUUGAAUGCGCAUUUGCUGUUAUGAAUAACAGGAAUUGUUUGGCUUGGCCUGCCUUUGUGCCUAUGCCAGCUGGCAGGGAGCAAAGCUGUGACACAUGACACUACAGCUGUGUCCACAUGUUUCUGCCUUGCAGUAUCCACUUAUAUAAUUUACUUUUUUGAUCCGCAGUCGAACUGUUCGAGUGAGUAUAAUUUGCUUUUUUGAUCCGCAGACGAACUAUUUAGGCAAGCUCAUUGAAUUACACAUGCCAGCCACUUCUAUGAGAAUCCUGAUUUUGUCA
rnacentral:lncRNA from 7 species